CUCCCACGGCACGUGAGUUUUUUCCUGCAUGGCUUCAAAGAGAUUCAAGCUGUCGGUCUCCAAGUACAGUACUUCGUUUCUUCUCAAACUGAAGUGCUUCAACGGCUCCACCAGAGCCAGGGUUUCCACCUGGAUGGGCGAGGAAGCUCGGAUUUUUUUAGCAAAUCCGUCUAUCAGAACUCCUGAGGUAUCUCGGAGGACUCCUGCGAUCGCUCCCUCUGGACUACCAGCUACGAAGGAACCGUCGAUGUUUAUCUUAAAGGACUGAUUCUUCGGCGGACACCAAUUCAAGGGAUCAUUCCAAACCGAGCCGGUCCAAGGGCAGAGCAAAAACAGAUGUUCCACCGCUUUCGAUUUCGUGAUUACAAAAAGGACAAACUGGCUGAGGUAUGAUCUUGCGCUUGUAUAGGCUUUCUCUGGUAGGGAGUGCAUUUUGGCACAGGUUCCAGAGAAAAAUUCUAACUUUAGGGUGGGCCUUCAGAUGCCAGAUUUGGUACCACAGCUUACGAGAUGGCUGAUAUGAUGAUGAGGCUUGCAUUGUAUU